rnacentral:ncRNA from 1 species
UGAACUGUAAUUAUUAGUUUAAUAUUUUUAGUUUGAUGUUGAAAUAUUUAAUUAAAGAUGUUACAGUUGUUCUAUAUGUACCAAAUAAAUAUAGUAAGA